rnacentral:tRNA from 1 species
GUUUAAAUAGUUUAAAUAAAAUAUUGAUUUGUGGAAUCAUUGAUGAAGCAUUUUGUUUCUUUAGACC